GAUGAACGCUGGCGGCGUGCCUAAUACAUGCAAGUCGAGCGAAUGGAUUAAGAGCUUGCUCUUAUGAAGUUAGCGGCGGACGGGUGAGUAACACGUGGGUAACCUGCCCAUAAGACUGGGAUAACUCCGGGAAACCGGGGCUAAUACCGGAUAACAUUUUGAACCGCAUGGUUCGAAAUUGAAAGGCGGCUUCGGCUGUCACUUAUGGAUGGACCCGCGUCGCAUUAGCUAGUUGGUGAGGUAACGGCUCACCAAGGCAACGAUGCGUAGCCGAACUGCGAGGGUGAUCGGCCACACUGGGACUGAGACACGGCCCAGACUCCUACGGGAGGCAGCAGUAGGGAAUCUUCCGCAAUGGACGAAAGUCUGACGGAGCAACGCCGCGUGAGUGAUGAAGGCUUUCGGGUCGUAAAACUCUGUUGUUAGGGAAGAACAAGUGCUAGUUGAAUAAGCUGGCACCUUGACGGUACCUAACCAGAAAGCCACGGCUAACUACGUGCCAGCCGCCGCAGUAAGAC
rnacentral:rRNA from 1 species